GACGAACGCUGGCGGCGUGCUUAACACAUGCAAGUCGAGCGGUAAGGCCCUUUCGGGGGUACACGAGCGGCGAACGGGUGAGUAACACGUGGGUGACCUGCCCUCAGCUCUGGGAUAAGCCCGGGAAACUGGGUCUAAUACCGGAUAUGACUCCAUGACGCAUGUUGUGGGGUGGAAAGCCUUGUGCGGCUGAGGAUGGGCCCGCGGCCUAUCAGCUUGUUGGUGGGGUGAUGGCCACCAAGGCGACGACGGGUAGCCGGCCUGAGAGGGCGACCGGCCACACUGGGGACUGAGAUACGGCCCAGACUCCUACGGGAGGCAGCAGUGGGGAAUCUUGCGCAAUGGGCGAAAGCCUGAUGCAGCGACGCCGCGUGAGGGAUGACGGCCU
rnacentral:rRNA from 1 species